rnacentral:rRNA from 1 species
UACGUAGGGGGCAAGCGUUGUUCGGAAUUACUGGGCGUAAAGCGUGUGUAGGCGGCCGCGCAAGUCGGAUGUGAAAUCCCCGGGCUCAACCCGGGAAGGGCACCCGAAACUGCACGGCUCGAGUACCGGAGAGGUUGGUGGAAUUCUCGGUGUAGAGGUGAAAUUCGUAGAUAUCGAGAGGAACACCGGUGGCGAAGGCGGCCAACUGGACGAGUACUGACGCUGAGACACGAAAGCGUGGGGAGCAAACAGG